GAUGAACGCUAGCGGCAGGCCUAAUACAUGCAAGUCGAACGGUGUCUUCGGACAUAGUGGCGCACGGGUGCGUAACACGUAUGCAACCUACCUUACAUUGGGGGAUAGCCUUUCGAAAGGGAGAUUAAUACCGCAUAAGACAGUAGCUGGGCAUCCAGCAGCUGUUAAAGAUUUAUCGAUGUAAGCUGGGCAUGCGUCCAAUUAGCUAGUUGGUGGGGUAACGGCUCACCAAGGCAAUGAUUGGUAGGGGAACUGAGAAGUCAAUCCCCCACACUGGCACUGGGAUACGGGCCAGACUCCUACGGGAGGCAGCAGUAGGGAAUAUUGGGCAAUGGACGCAAGUCUGACCCAGCCAUGCCGCGUGCAGGAUGAAGGCGUUAUGCGUUGUAAACUGCUUUUAUACAGGAAGAAACGACUCUUGCGAGAGGCAUUGACGGUACUGUAUGAAUAAGCACCGGCUAACUCCGUGCCAGCCGCCGCCGUAACAC
rnacentral:rRNA from 1 species